rnacentral:rRNA from 1 species
UACAGAGGGUGCGAGCGUUAAUCGGAAUUACUGGGCGUAAAGCGCGCGUAGGCGGUUUUGCAAGCCGGAUGUGAAAUCCCCGGGCUUAACCUGGGAACUGCAUUCGGGACUGCAUUGCUAGAGUAUGGGAGAGGGAAGUGGAAUUUCAGGUGUAGCGGUGAAAUGCGUAGAGAUCAGGAGGAACACCCAUGGCGAAGGCAGCUCUCUGGUCGACCUCUGACGCUGAGACGCGAAAGCGUGGGGAGCGAACGGG